UAUAGCUUGGGCAAAAGCGUUAAAAUUUAGAAAAAGUAUAACUCCCAAUAUGAGAGUCUGUUCACUCCAUUUUAUUAAAGAUGAUUUUUUACCUUCACCUAUUGAUUCAACUCGAACUUAUUUAAAAA